rnacentral:rRNA from 1 species
UACGGAGGGUGCGAGCGUUGUCCGGAAUCAUUGGGCGUAAAGGGCGCGUAGGCGGCCUGUUAAGUCGGACGUGAAAUCCCCGGGCUCAACCCGGGAACUGCGUCCGAUACUGGCAGGCUUGAAUCCGGGAGAGGGAUGCGGAAUUCCAGGUGUAGCGGUGAAAUGCGUAGAUAUCUGGAGGAACACCGGUGGCGAAGGCGGCAUCCUGGACCGGCAUUGACGCUGAGGCGCGAAAGCCAGGGGAGCAAACGGG